GCCAGGCAUGGUGGCGCACGCCUGUAAUCCCAGUGACUUGGGAGGCUUAGGCAGGAGGAUUGUGAGUUCAAAGCCAGCCUCAGCAAAAGCGAGGAGCUAAGCAACUCAAGUGAGACCCUGUCUCUA
rnacentral:sRNA from 1 species